GCGACGCCGCGUGGGUGAGGAAGGCCUUCGGGUUGUAAAGCCCUGUCAGGAGUUAAGAAAUGUAGGUACGCUAAUAUCGUGCUUAUUUGACAAAGGCUCCAAAGGAAGCCACGGCUAACUCUGUGCCAGCAGCCGCGGUAAUACAGAGGUGGCAAGCGUUGUUCGGAAUUAUUGGGCGUAAAGAGCACGUAGGUGGAUUUGUAAGUCAGAUGUGAAAGCCUUCUGUUCAACGGGAGAAUUGCAUCUGAAACUACAAACCUUGAGUGUAGGAGGGGAGAAUGGAACUUCUGGUGGAGCGGUGAAAUGCGUAGAUAUCAGAAGGAACGCCGGCGGCGAAAGCGAUUCUCUGGCCUAUUACUGACACUCAGUGUGCGAAAGCUAGGGGAGCAAACGGGAUUAGAUACCCCGGUAGUCCUAGCCGUAAACGAU
rnacentral:rRNA from 1 species